AACGAACGCUGGCGGCAUGCCUAAUACAUGCAAGUCGAACGAGAUCUUCGGAUCUAGUGGCGCACGGGUGCGUAACGCGUGGGAAUCUACCCUUGGGUUCGGAAUAACGUCGGGAAACCGACGCUAAUACCGGAUGAUGACGUAAGUCCAAAGAUUUAUCGCCCAAGGAUGAGCCCGCGUAGGAUUAGCUAGUUGGUGGGGUAAAGGCCUACCAAGGCGACGAUCCUUAGCUGGUCUGAGAGGAUGAUCAGCCACACUGUGACUGAGACACGGCCCAGACUCCUACGGGAGGCAGCAGUAGGGAAUAUUGGACAAUGGGGGCAACCCUGAUCCAGCAAUGCCGCGUGAGCGAUGAAGGCCUUAGGGUUGUAAAGCUCUUUUACCCGAGAUGAUAAUGACAGUAUCGGGAGAAUAAGCCCCGGCUAACUCCGUGCCAGCCGCCGCCGUAA
rnacentral:rRNA from 1 species